AGUCAACGAGCAAAGACAAUGUGUCCCGUGUUCUAAGGAUCAUUAUAGUGAUUAUUUUGGAUUUUACAAAUGUUUGGCUUGUCCAGAAGGUCGAUUUGCAAAUCCAGGAGCUUCCUCGUUGGAUGCAUGUAACAUACUCGUAUUAAUAAA